GAGAGUUCUCUUUUGUAGCAAAGGCCUUUACAGACAUUACUGAUUAAGUCAGACAGAGGGUUGCAGAUGUUUAUUGAAAGGAGAGAUCGAAUGGAUAAAUAUAUUAAGGAUCCUGGAAUUAGGGAAUCUCUGAACUAGGAUGGACAACAUCAGGAGUCAAGAGUCCACACGAGAAUCAGUUGCACAGAGUUGGGAAAACUUACUAUCUUUUGGAUGUGUGGCCGAGAGGAUGACGCUGUGCUUCUUCCUCACUUCUUCUACAACAUCUGAGAUUUUAGAGAUAUAUUUCCUAACUUCCUCAACCUUUGAAAAGGAGAAAAAAAGACAUCAAGAAGAAGCAGGUUUAAAUUUACAGAUUGUUAGUGCUCUAUUGUAGAUGGUAAGUGGCAUCCAGGCAGACUCAUCAAUCAAUCAAUCAAUCAUAAACGCAGGCAGUCCUUGACUUGGAACAGUUCAUUUAGUUCAUUUAGUGACCCUAUAAACAGCCUUGAAAAAAAAAA